rnacentral:siRNA from 1 species
UUACCUGGUAGUCAGAAAUGCAGG